UAAAAUAUACAUAACUUUUUCUAAAUAUGUCCAAAUUAUGAUGUCUUUAACUUUUUGAAAACUAGAUAUGAAGUUCUACAACUUUUGUUUUUAAAUCACCUCAAAAUUCCUUGUAGAUAAAAAGUUAUGAGCUAUUGAAGUAGGACCUGCGCGACAGAAAAUUCCUUCUUCGCGAACGCGAAGCACUAUCGUGAGCGCGAAGAACAAAAGUCCCAGAUGACAAUUCCUUCUUCGCGAAUGCGAAGUGCUGCCGCGAACGCUAAGAACAAAAGUCUCAGAAGCCAAUUUCUUCUUCGCAAAUGCGAUAGGACCUCACGGACGCGAAGGACAACACCAGAUACCAGCAACAACAAUCCAAAACCUUCCAAAAAUGACCUGUUGGCUAUUCGAAAUCACCCUUAGGCCCUCGGGACCUCAACCAAAAGCACAGAUAGGUCCUACUACCUUAUUCAAACUUGCUCGAACCAUAAAAAUACUAUCGUUAACAUAAAAAUCAUCAAGUUUCAUCAAAUCAAGGCUUACGUUAAAGUAAAACUUUCAAAACUCACAUUCAAUCAAAAACCCGACCUGAACUCCUCCGAAUCAACUGAAAUUUUGCACACAAGUCCAAAAUUACCUAAAGAAGUUGCUGAAACUCUCGGAAUUCCAUUCAGACUCCCGGAUCAAAAUUCCACCUAUCAACCGGAAAUCGCCAAAAUACUAACUUCGCCACCAGACCUCCAAAAUUACUUCCGGUUGCACUCCUAAGCCUUAAAUCCCCCAAAAACUAACUGAAUCAUCGAAAUUCAAUUUUGAGCCCUCUAACUCAUAGGUGACAUCCGACUAACUUUUCCAAACUAAUUCUUCCUUAAAGGGACUAAUUUUCUCAUUUCUUACCAAACUCUAUCUGAAUCACUUCAAAUUCACCAAACACAUAUACUGAAAC
rnacentral:lncRNA from 1 species